rnacentral:lncRNA from 1 species
UUAAGAUACCUAACAGAGUGUCUGAUGUAUUAAAUGCUUUUUAGUUGAAUUGAAUCUGAAAUGAUGAAGAUUUGGAUCAUAUGAGAAAAUGGAGCAACAAGUUCAUGAAGAUUUAAAAUAAGGCACCUCUGAGAAUUCAAAUCUGUUACCCAGGGCCACCAUGUUGAACACUACCCGGGUUGCACAUUGUAUAACUUUCUGCUGCAUCAUCCACAUAAACUAGGAUUUAAACGGCGCCCCUUGGAUUUGUGCAUCAUGGCAGGCCAUCAUCCAUUCAAAUUAAGAACACGGAAAAGGAUACCGAUGUGUUAAACCACCAAAGAACAUUGAAAACUAGUCUAUUGUUGUAGAUGUGAUUAAGGUGUUUGUGGUGUUAAAGUUGUAGGUCCUUCUGGUUCUGCUGUGUGGGACACUGCCUUAGCGUGGCUUGAUGAGCAGUACUAGGUCCAUACCCCGGAUCCGAACUGGUGAAACCCCGGGCUGCUGAAGCUGAGCACGGAAACUUAACCACUGGCCAUGGAGCCAGUCCCUGGAUUUUUCACUUAGCAUAAUGCUGUUGAGAUUCAUUCAUGUUCACCACAGUGUUUGUUGUAAACCUUGAAGGCUGCUUCUGGAAAUGGCUGGAGAAGGAGGGCAAUGUUUCAUGCGUCAGGCCCACAGUCGUGUCCAGCGUGUUUCCUAAGGUGGAUUUUCCACUUGGUCCCUCCUUCCCUUCAGCAGGAAGAUGUGAAACAGCCACAAUUUAGCCCCAGGUGCUCUUGGCUCAGCAGAAGGAGUUCUUGGAAAGCUGGCAUGGAUGUUUCUCUGUCCCACACUUACAGUAAUUACAAAUAAGGGUUACUUUAUGUGGUUGCUCCCACCCUAUAAUCUUGUUUUCAGUUGCCAAGAUUAGUAAAUUUGAGCUUUGAUCACUGGGUUGGAUUGCAAGUCUAGAGUUAUUUUGAUCGUAACUUCUCUGAAUUUCAAAAUUAAUUUUAAAUAUUCAUUGUUGCCAUACAUCAGUUUCAGAAUUUGCUAGCCUGAUUUCAACUAUCCAUCCUCUAUCUCUUUCAGUGGACCUUUGGAAGCCUUUGUGAUUAAGAUCUUUAGUUUUGUUUUUCCUUUUGUUUUUUUUCCUUCUUUUUCUUCCUUCCUUCCUUCUUUCUUUCUUUCUUAUUUUCCUUCCUUCCUCCCUCCCUUUUUUUCUUUUUUUGAAGUCAAGCUGAAUUGAAUUAUGUAAAGACUUAAGAGGCAAUAUUUGCAAAUAGACCUAUAAUUAUCUUAAAAGUAAACGAAAAAGCUAUUUAUACCAGCAGUCACUGAAAUAUACAUGUUUAGAGUGGAAAACAUUAGUAAUAUGGAGAUGAUCCAUAAAAUAAGACGGCAUCUCCAGGUAUUAAGACAGAACUGUAUUAGCUAGAUUUUAAAAGAAAACUUUGAGAUUGAAGAUAUGUGAUAUUCAAUCCCUAUUAAAAGAGCUCUUAAAGUGAAUCCUUAAGCUAUCUUGUAUUUAUCAAGCUCAAAUAAACUGACCAUGGAUUUAACUCUGUGCUAUGGGGUUGCCAGACAAAUAAUCAAGACCUUAAGGCCUGUGAGAAUAAGAUGGUGGCUAGCUUAUCCUUGUUUCUCCAAAGGAUCUGGCACAGAAAAGAUACUUAGUAAAUAUCUGUUGAAUGAAGGCCAAGUUGGUUGCAAAGGUAAAAAUUACAUACGUGAAACGAAUCUUUUGGGACUUUGUGGUGUAUCAGUUAGAAAUGUGCUGGUUGCAGCAGCAGAAAAACCAACAAAAUAAAGUUGCUAAAACUAAAGGGAAUGCAUUGCUUCACAAAAGGCCCAUCCCUAUGGCCUUGUGGAUAAAACCCGGCAACUGGCUUAGCCCUAGUCUUGUGCUCCGACUCUUGAGCCAGCUUGUGGCAUCAAGUCCCCUAGAACAAGUUGGGGGAUGGAAAGAAGAAGGAAGUGUGCUGGAUGACAAAGACAAGAAAUCUCGAAGUGCAUGCCGGGGGUAUGUUGAGUGCUGCAAUUCUUCAAAGAGGCGGAGGGCAUCUGGGUGGAUGUGAUGAGAAUACUUUACAGAGAGGCCAUAUUUGUGUCUGGUACAUAGACUGAAUUUAUGUAAUUUUACAAUAAAGUAAGAUAAAGUUAUUUUGCAAGAACUUUGACAGAAACUUGGAAAAUCAAAAAAAGCAAAUAAAAAUUUUACUGUAAGGUACAUGUAACCACCACUGUUAUUUGACAUAUUUACUUGUACUUAAAAAUUCAUGCUAAUAUAUACAAGUAAAAUAACAUAUGUAAUGUGUGUAUGUAUAUGCAUAAACAUAUGCUUAUAUAAUUAGGAUCGUAACAUAAUUCUAUUUGUUUAUAUUACCUAAUUAGGAUCAAGGUAUAUAUACAUUUUUUGGUGCUACUUUUUCACUUAAUAUUAUAUUUAGGAAUUUUCUUAAUUCAUUGACAAUUCUUCUAAAAUUAUUUUUGAUUGUUGAAUUACAUAAUCUAUAGAAAUUAAGAAGUAGGGAGGAUAAGAGACGCAAAGAAAACUUAGGGCAUUUUCAUGGGAUAUUACAUAGUCUUGUGGAGAAAGAUAUAAUUUGGAGAGAUAGAAUGAACCCUAAAGUUAGGCAAAAAGAUAAAGUGGGUUCUUGAAAAUCAAGUAGAGAAGUUUAGAUUUGAUACUGUAGGAAAAGGAAAAUCUUCAAAGUUUUUUCCUCAGAGGUUCUUAUGAUUUGAGUUAAGCUAACAGUAGGUUAAUCAGCCAAAAUUAUUCAGGAUCAAUAUGAGGAAGCACAUAGAUUUUUUAUUUUGAGAUCAGAAAGAGAAGGGAAUUAAAGCAUGUUGCUUUCCCACUUUCCCACUGUGUGCCACGCACCAUGCUAGAUGUCCUAUGUAAGAAACACAACAUGUGUUCUCCCAUAGGAUGGGAGAAUUGAGCAAUGCUGUGUUCAAAUCCCGUAUCUGCCACAUCUAGUGUGAUCUAGGGUGUAGGACUUAACUUCUCUGAGCAUGAGUCUCUUCACUUGAAAACAGGGAUGGUAAAGCUUACGUCACAGAACUGUGGUGAAUUCUGAAUAGCAUAUGUAACAUGCUUUGUACAGCAUGCACAAAAAUAAUGCCUAUUUGUCUUCCUUUUCCUCCACAAAUGAUGAUGGGAUAUGACAGGAAAAAUGGUUCUCAAAGUUGGCUUCACAAUGGAAUUUGACUGGCUUUAAAACCCACUGAUGUCUGAGCCCCACAUCAGAGGUCUGUGGGAGUGUGGAAGACUUGAAAAUCUUCCCAGGUGAUUCUAAUGCGCAUUCAAGAUUGAGAAACUCUGGACCAAAAGUUCAAGGAAAGAACAAAUCCCACACAGUUUAUGUGGGGAGUUGGUAAGAUAUCAGAAUUAAAAAUUCACAGAAUAAAUUAUCACUGUGGAAUGGCUAAGGCAGUCAGACGGAAAAUUGCCGUUGGCUGAGUUUACUCUGCAUCUCUGUAACAUUUCUUAGCAGUGCACCCUGACCAAGGAGAAGGAUGACGGAAGGCCAAUGGUGGAUGUGUUCCCUAUCUGAGAACACCACAGAAGUGAUCUGGACAUCAUUACAUCCCACAGCAUCUCAGCGGCACUAUGAAGCUGUGUGAGUCAAGGCAGACAGAAUGCCUCACGCAGCGAUGGGCACGAACACGUGACUUCUAGCCAAUGGAAUGUUAGUGGAAGGAUGUGUCGGAUAAAAAUCUCUGAUGAGUGAUCCUCCAUGCUGAUUUCCCAAAUGCCAACCGAAUGUAGAGGUUUCCAAGGCCUAAGAGGAGGACAGAAUCACGCAAUAGGAGUCUGGACCCUCAAAUUGCCAUGAGGAAGGCUGUGUUCGAACCAAGAACACCUGUGUGGGACUUUACAGAAGUAAAAAUAAACUUUUUUGUAUGUUAAGUCACUGAAGUUUCAUGGUUUGUUUAUUACAGCACUUAGUAUUACCCUAAUUAAUGCGAGGAUCAAGUGGGGAAAAAAUGGAUUUAAAAACAUUAUGCAAACUCUAAAAUACUGUACAGAUUUAAGGGUUUUUACUGGCUUUGGUUGUGUAAAGUCUUGGGAGUAAGUGCUAAAGUUAUGUUGAAAUAAAAUACUAUUAACAGAUAUUUAUUCAAUGCUUACUAGAGGAUGCAAAUCUUAUGUAGCUUAUCUAAUUUGUUCCUCUUGGCCACCUUAAGUAGAUGUCUUUCUUUAUUGUCAUUUUUACAGUUGAAGAAAGUAAACUUCAGAGAAAUGAAGUCACUUACCUGAAAUCAUACAACUACCAAGGGCUGAGGGCUUUCAUUAAAGUUUUAUUUUUUUGUUUUCCAAAUCUACUUUUGCACCCUAUUAUAGUAUUCAAAAAUUUUAAACUUCUUCUAGAAGAAAGCCAGACUGUUUAUUCUACUCCCUCUAUACCAAAGGAACAGCAGAUAGAUGUGCACAUGGAACAUUCUGUUCAUUCCAAUAAGUCUGAAAAUCCUGAUGUUGGAGAUGACAUUCUUUGAAGUCGUUUUCCAAGUGUAGGCAGCUACUUUUCACUCAAAACUAUGCAGUUCAAGUAAUUGAGUUCUCAAUUUUCUUGCAUUAAAAGUAACCUAGGGCGGCCAAAACCUUGGGUAGAUGAAGGGUUUUCCCCCCUCUUCUGUUUUCCUCAAGCUUCAAAAAUGCACUUGCCAAAAUAAUGUGAUUUGAGCUGCUCUUUAAAUAUUUUUACCAGGUGAGGAAUUGCUGGUACAUUCCAUCUUGUCAGUAAUGAUUUCACAUUUGUCACUCUCAUCGGGUAGACUGUCCACGGACUGCGGACCAUUUUCACACUCAUUUUGGAUACUGUUUGGUGUUAUUUUCAUUCAAGGGCAGGCUUGGAACCAAGCAGAUUAUUUCAUAGACUUGGAAACUAUAGGGGGAUGUAACGAAUCUUAGCCUUGAUCUGGGGCAUUUCUGAUGCAAAGCUUUGUCUAUCAAAAAAAUCUGCUCAUUAUAUAACCAAAGAGUGAGGGGACUUGACCAUUUCCCUCUGGUUCAGAGACCCAAGCCUCAUCCCUUUGUCCACAGGUAGUUGUAGAUGCCUUCCUCUGACUUGAGAAUUCUGGCUUGCUUAAACUUUCUGCUGUUCAGAUAAAAAACAGCAGCAAUUUUCUGCUUGAAUUUCUCUGUGACUAAGUCCAUUGAUCAUCCUUUCUCUCUGUGAGUGAGAAGUGUGUUUUCUCCUUAAUAACUCCUAUCCUUCUCCCUGGAUUUUUUUUUUCCCCCUUCGCUUGUUUGUGUUGUGUUGGUCAGUCCUACGCGCUAUUCCUCUGAGAGACAGAGAGCGCGCAAAAUUGAAGUUAUUUUAUGCUUGGGCUCCCUCGGUCCCAAUUUUCAAAUCUUCAUGUCAAUUUUCACACAUCAGUGUCAUGUGGUGAAUGUUAUGGAAAUUUCAGUGGGGUCCUUGGGAGGAAAUUUAUACACGGAUCCCUCCCCCACAACACUAUCCGGCUGCAAUUCCUGUCUUUUCUAAGAAUAAGUGGAUCUAUAAUUAAUGUGGAUUUUAAAAUAUAACGGCAUUCAGAAUUCUCAUAGCAGGUUUUCGACGCCAUGUCUUCUUUGCAGUAUAAACACAAAAGCAUAAAUGCUUGCUAGCUCUCUCUCCUAAUAAAUGGGCUUGUGUAAAAGGAAUAAAAAUUACAGUUUGUUGGCUGUAAAGAGCAACUAAUUACUCAGGAAGAAGCAUGUUUUUAUUUUUCAAAACUGCACUGAAAAUGGUUUAUCAUGCAAUAAAUUUGCUAAUCACCAGUUAGGAAACACAGCGCCAUCACCACCUACCCACAGCGGCUUCCUUUGAAAGUUGGUAUGUUACAGUUUGGAUAGGAAAUUAUAUCCUUUUGAAAAUGAACAUGACAGAAGACGUUCACUGAAUAGCUUAAAACUCCUCAGCAGUCAGAAUUCAAACUGCAUAAACAAGAGUGUGGAUAUUGGUGCCAACAGACAGCAACUACUGACCUUGGAUUUGCUUGGUGAGCAGACCACCCAGGACCCCUUCUCAUGAAGACAGGUAUUCAUUUCCUUUUGCUCUUUCCCUUUUAACAGUGAAAGUGGAAGACCCCCAAAUGAAGAAUACAAGGUUGGCCUUAAUUUUUUCACUUUCCUUUUCUUCAGCCCCUCGCCAUCCUAUAAAUGUUAAUUUCUUAUAGAUUUGCCUUACAUUUUUCCAGAAGAACCUGGAGAACUGUCUUCUCAUCCAGAACUGUAGGAGUCCAGCUUGAUGAACUUGAAACCAUACAAACCAGUAACAGGAAUAUCUUAUCCCUGCUGCUGGCCCACUCUCUUGCUUCGAAGGUACUUGGCAAUGACUUUCGUAUUGUUCUCCCCAGAAAGGACAUCCAUGGACAUCCUCAUCAAUGAUCAUUGCUGUCUUCCCCUGUCUCCAUGUUUUUCUUGCCAUUACUCUGUCAUAUUUCCUUCUAAGACUUCUUAAUAUUAAAAAUUAUCUCAUUGAUUUGUGUGUUUAUUGACUUAUUAUCUGGUUCGCCACUGGCAGGUACCUUCAGUGAAAGAGGAAACCUUGUGUUCUUUUUGUUGUUGUUGUUGUUUUUUGAGGAAGAUUAGCCCUGAGCUAACUGCUGCCAAUCCUCUUCUUUUCGCUGAGGAAGGCUGGCCCUGAGCUAACAUCAAUGCCCAUCUUCCUCUACUUUAUAUGUGGGAUGCCUACCACAGCAUGGCGUGCCAAGCAAUGCUGUGUCCACACCCGUGAUAUGAACUGGCGAACCCCAGGCUGCUGAAGUGGAACGUGUGCACUUAACUGCUGUGCCACUGGGCUGCUCCCGAAACAUUCUGUUUUGAUCAGCUCAGUAUCACCAGAUCUUGGUCAGACGUCGGGCACAGAGUAAUUUUCAAUGUAUACUGAAGGGUUCAACAAAUGAAUGAAUGAAUGAAUGGACAUUUUGGUUUUUCAUCCCUACCUCAAAAAGCACAGCAUUCAUUAACCAUGAUGUAGCUGACUUGCCACCCCUCAAACAUAGGGGUAUCUAGAGGUAAGGCACCUUUGGGUUUAAAAGUUGGGAGGAGGUGUUUGUUUAAGCUUUCCUUUUGACUAGAAGGAAGGAACAGUAAAUUUUGUGGUCAACUUUCCUUUCUUUGGAGAAAAUGCAUUGUGUGGGAAGCUGGUUAUUAGGUCUGAUUGGUGGAAGGUCACCAGGUCACCAGCCCUGGCUUGCAAUGGCCUGGUGUCUAAGGAGAAGACACUCACAGGCCAGGAGACUCCAGUGGCAGCACUCCCACCGGUGGCCCCACACAAUGGAGUCUUGGAUCAGUACCUUUCUUAGAUGUACAACUGUGAGCAACUCACUCAAUUUCUUCAGUUCUCAGUUGUCUUGCCUGAAAAUCACCAUAUAACCCCCUACCUCACCUAGAGUUAUUAGAAUUAAAUAAAAACACGUGUCCAACACUAUUUUGUAAACUACUGAGGGCCAUACAAAUAUUUUGGCUGGUUUGAUAUAGAAGAAAUGGUCAAGGAUAUAUUAAAAAUGAAAAGACUGUUCUUUUGUGUGACAAUUUUUGUCCCGUCUGUACUAUAAGAAAGAUAGGUAAGAAAGUCACCAUUUUAUAGAUCAAUAAACUGAGGACUAGGGAAGCUGUGUCAUGCUUAGCAUCAUAGAUAAUACUGUCUAUCUUUGCAUCUGGAACAGGCCCCAGAUCUCUAGAUGAUUAGUGCGGUAAUUUUGUUUCUAGAUGGUUGCAGUAAUUUCUGGUUCUCUUUCCACAG